AGAGUUUGAUCAUGGCUCAGAUUGAACGCUGGCGGCAGGCCUAACACAUGCAAGUCGAGCGGAUGACGGGAGCUUGCUCCUUGAUUCAGCGGCGGACGGGUGAGUAAUGCCUAGGAAUCUGCCUGGUAGUGGGGGACAACGUUUCGAAAGGAACGCUAAUACCGCAUACGUCCUACGGGAGAAAGCAGGGGACCUUCGGGCCUUGCGCUAUCAGAUGAGCCUAGGUCGGAUUAGCUAGUUGGUGAGGUAAUGGCUCACCAAGGCGACGAUCCGUAACUGGUCUGAGAGGAUGAUCAGUCACACUGGAACUGAGACACGGUCCAGACUCCUACGGGAGGCAGCAGUGGGGAAUAUUGGACAAUGGGCGAAAGCCUGAUCCAGCCAUGCCGCGUGUGUGAAGAAGGUCUUCGGAUUGUAAAGCACUUUAAGUUGGGAGGAAGGGCAUUAACCUAAUACGUUAGUGUUUUGACGUUACCGACAGAAUAAGCACCGGCUAACUCUGUGCCAGCAGCCGCGGUAAUACAGAGGGUGCAAGCGUUAAUCGGAAUUACUGGGCGUAAAGCGCGCGUAGGUGGUUUGUUAAGUUGGAUGUGAAAGCCCCGGGCUCAACCUGGGAACUGCAUCCAAAACUGGCAAGCUAGAGUACGGUAGAGGGUGGUGGAAUUUCCUGUGUAGCGGUGAAAUGCGUAGAUAUAGGAAGGAACACCAGUGGCGAAGGCGACCACCUGGACUGAUACUGACACUGAGGUGCGAAAGCGUGGGGAGCAAACAGGAUUAGAUACCCUGGUAGUCCACGCCGUAAACGAUGUCAACUAGCCGUUGGAAUCCUUGAGAUUUUAGUGGCGCAGCUAACGCAUUAAGUUGACCGCCUGGGGAGUACGGCCGCAAGGUUAAAACUCA
rnacentral:rRNA from 1 species